rnacentral:lncRNA from 1 species
CCUAAACACAGCCCUGAGACCCCAAACCCACCCCAAACCCCACCCUAAAUACAGCCCUGAGACCCCAAACCCAUCCCAAAGGCCGCAUGUGCAGGGCCCGGAGCAUGGCCUGGGACCCCAAAAACAUCCUAAAUCCAUUCCAAAUCCCACCCAGAGACCCCAAAAACACCACAAAUCCAUCCCAAAUCCUAAAUGGGACCCCAAAUCCCACCCAGAGACCCCAAAAACACCACAAAUCCAACCCUGGGACCCCAAAUCCAUCCCAAAUCCCACCCAGAGAGCCCAAAUCCAGCCCAGAGCCUUCUAAUCCCAUCCAGACCCCAAAUCCCCAAAUCCCAGCCCAAAGUCCCAGUCCCAGUUCCCAUUCCCAGUUCAUUCCCAGUUUAUCCCAGUCAAUCCCAGUUUAUCCCA